rnacentral:lncRNA from 1 species
GGCUGACGUGCUCCUGCAGCUCCUCCAUGUGCUCCAGCACGGCCGUCUUGGUCUCCGAGUCCUCCAGCAUGGCCCCCACGUCAAAGACGUUGUCCAGGUCCCAGGAGAAGCGGCAGCAAAGUCCUCGCCAGCAAAACCUUCCAGCCGGAGCAGACCCCGUCCCCAUCGGCCACCAGCCGAAGGCUCCAGCCGAACCCUCCCAGCUUCACCUCCACCACACCUUCGAUUCACAGGAUUUCCAACCUGCCGCCACCCAGCCGGGCAGAAAGCACCGUUUCCUGAGGCCUCGCAGCAGCAGCGGAAGCACCCCGAGGUCCCCGGCCACCCGUCACCGCCACCGCGUCACCCAGGAGCCAUCACAGGCACUGCCACCCAGCUCAGCCACCCGCUGCCCUCUGCGCCCACGGCGAUGGGCGUCCCACGGCAAAGCCCCAUCCUUGGGGAUUUUGGGGGUCCCAUGAGGAUCCCCACCUUGCAAAGCCCUUCGCCAUCAUC